AGCAGAUGCAGGAUCCAAGCGUCUUGUACAGUCUGCAGAAUUGUCCCACUGCAAUUCAGUUGAAUAAGAAAGAAGGAGAAGCUGUGAACUGUAGGUCUAAGGACUUCUCAAACUUUUUCACGUACAUGGAGUCACCCUGGGCUCUUAUCAAAAUGUAGAUUCUGAUUCAGUAGGUCUGGGGAGCUGCUGCUGCUGCUGGUUCCAAACUACGCUGGAUUAAAAAGAGGCAAAGAAGCAGAAGAUAAGCACAGGGUUGCCUGGGAUGAAGUUUGCUCAGCCAUUAAAAGGUGGGAAAGUCUCCUGCUGCUGUGUAUAUGAGAGAAAGCCACUGUUAACGUCAUGUGUCAGCUACCCAUCAAUUGAGGCAGAGGAAGCAAUUGGUUCAUCAAUGGGUUGGCAAAAAGAAGCAUUUACAGUUCAAAGAAGCCCCGUUUUUCAUAUUCAGCAGACGGAUUAAAGGGAGAGUUUGACUGUGAGAGUUUCAAGAGAGAUCGCAUCCAAAUUCAACUUCAACAUUUGGUUUUAGGAUGUUAAACUUAAACCCCAAAAUGCAAGAUCUCUGGGGAUUUUUUUGGCAAAAUAAAUGCUUGGUUUCUCUUCUGUCCUAAAGGUUUUGGACAUCCCAUUCCAAUAUAAAUCACCAU
rnacentral:lncRNA from 1 species